rnacentral:rRNA from 1 species
CCUACGGGAGGCAGCAGUGGGGAAUAUUGCACAAUGGGGGAAACCCUGAUGCAGCGACGCCGCGUGAAGGAAGAAGUAUUUCGGUAUGUAAACUUCUAUCAGCAGGGAAGAAAAUGACGGUACCUGACUAAGAAGGCCCGGCUAACUACGUGCCAGAAGCCGCCGUAAUACGUAGGGGGCAAGCGGUAUCCGGAAUUACUGGGUGUAAAGGGAGCGUAGGCGGUUUAGCAAGUCAGACGUGAAAGCCCGGGGCUCAACACCGGGACUGCAUUUGAAACUGGUGAACUAGAGUGCAGGAGAGGUAAGUGGAAUUCCAGGUGUAGCGGUGAAAUGCGUAGAUAUUAGGAGGAACACCAGUGGCGAAGGCGACUUACUGGACUGUAAAUGACGCUGAGGCUCGAAAGCGUGGGGAGCAAACAGGAUUAGAUACCCGAGUAGUC